ACGGGAGGCAGCAGUGGGGAAUAUUGGGCAAUGGGCGAAAGCCUGACCCAGCGACGCCGCGUGAAGGAGGAAGAUCCUCGGAUUGUAAACUUCAGUCAACAGGGAAGAAACAAAUGACGGUACCUGUGGAGGAAGCCACGGCUAACUACGUGCCAGCAGCCGCGGUAAUACGUAGGUGGCGAGCGUUAUCCGGAUUUACUGGGUGUAAAGGGCGCGUAGGCGGGGAUGCAAGUCAGAUGUGAAAUCUAUGGGCUUAACUCAUAAACUGCAUUUGAAGCUGUAUCUCUUGAGUGCUGGAGAGGUAGACGGAAUUCCUAGUGUAGCGGUGAAAUGCGUAGAUAUUAGGAAGAACACCAGUGGCGAAGGCGGUCUACUGGACAGUAACUGACGCUGAGGCGCGAAAGCGUGGGGAGCAAACAGGAUUAGAUACCCUGGUA
rnacentral:rRNA from 1 species